rnacentral:rRNA from 1 species
UACGGAGGAUGCAAGCGUUAUCCGGAUUUAUUGGGUUUAAAGGGUGCGCAGGUUGUUUGAUAAGUCAGUGGUGAAAGUCUGUCGCUUAACGGUAGGAUUGCCAUUGAUACUGUUAGACUUGAAUAUGGAUGAGGUAGGCGGAAUGUGUAGUGUAGCGGUGAAAUGCGCAGAUAUCAGGAGGAACACCAAUGGCGAAGGCAGGUCUCUGGGCAGUUACUGACGCUGAGGAGCGAAAGCAUGGGUAGCGAACA